UGGCCGUAAGGAUGUGGAUAGCAUUCUGA
rnacentral:piRNA from 1 species